rnacentral:rRNA from 1 species
UAUUGGACAAUGGGCGAAAGCCUGAUCCAGCAAUGCCGCGUGAGUGAUGAAGGCCUUAGGGUUGUAAAGCUCUUUUACCCGGGAUGAUAAUGACAGUACCGGGAGAAUAAGCUCCGGCUAACUCCGUGCCAGCAGCCGCGGUAAUACGGAGGGAGCUAGCGUUGUUCGGAAUUACUGGGCGUAAAGCGCACGUAGGCGGCUUUGUAAGUUAGAGGUGAAAGCCUGGAGCUCAACUCCAGAAUUGCCUUUAAGACUGCAUCGCUUGAAUCCAGGAGAGGUGAGUGGAAUUCCGAGUGUAGAGGUGAAAUUCGUAGAUAUUCGGAAGAACACCAGUGGCGAAGGCGGCUCACUGGACUGGUAUGACGCUGAGUGCGAAA